rnacentral:lncRNA from 1 species
GUGUUUCUCCCUGAAUCAGCCCCAGCCAGGCCACAUCUGAGGCUUAGCCCAGCCAAGAGUCCAGCCACUGCCCAGCUGCCUGUGGACACACGGGCCCUGUGCUGUCUCAGCUGAGAGGUCCCCAUCUACUGACUCACUCGCACCUGGGGCUUCUUGGCUGGUCAUCUGGAAAGGUACAAACUGAAGUUUUCUUUAUCCAAGGCAAUCUUUUAGAAGUCACCCUACGUUUCUUCAAAGUGUCUGGACGCAGUGUGGAGCGUGGUUUAUUUCGUCCAUGUUGCGGCAGCCUGUGUUGGAACUCGCUGAGGUUUGAAGCCUGUCAUCAACAUACAGA